AUUCCCCGUGAAUGCAACAAAUAUAUAUUUAAAACAUGAUGUGGAGAUUCGUCACGAUUGAUGACUACACUGCUGUGUUUUCAGAUACAUAAGAAAGUGGAUUUGCCAACACAAAAAAUACAAAAACGUGUAUUAACUGGUGUCAUCAAUCUUAUUAAAAAUAUAACUAUUCAACAUAUUCAGCUUGAAACAUCACAAGCAAACCCUGUGAUCAUGUGCAUGGUGUCAAGGCUAUUAUUUAAUUAAUGUUAACUAAUCGCCCAUACAUUUCUGAAAAAAAAAGAUCCAAACUUUUAUGCAUAAUUGCACGGCAAUAUUGCCUACUGUAGAAAUUGUCCAUUCAGUGCUCGGUUAUAAAUCUUCACUAGAGCGCAACCGGCAGAUGGGGCGAAUGUGUCUGGUAUCUCUCUCCAUCAUCUGAAGUUUUCACACCUUUAAAAUUACCCUUUUAAUUCACAUUCGUCGCGGUCUCUGUUUGAUUAUCCUAUCCUGCUCGAUUUUCACAUCAGCUAUAAAUCAAUUGACACAUGAUGAGAUGAGAGAUCCGCACACAACUGUGAAUGGAGCGCUAACAGGAGAAAUCAGCACGCGCUUCUUGUUCACACACAACCAACGUUUGGACAAAGGCUAUGGGUACUCUGAGGGACCUGCAGUUUGCGCUGCAGCUGAAGAUCGAGGAGCUCCGUCAGAGAGACACUCUGAUAGAUGAGCUGGAGUUGGAGCUGGACACUAAAGAUGACCUCAUCAGACACCUGCAGACUGAAUUGGACCAACACUGCAAAGCUCUACAACACCCAGGGACCACUGAGAACACAGUGAAAAUAUAUCGGGCAAUUGAUUGACCCCUUGUCAAUCAAGGUUGGAGGCAGAGGCAGGGUUUUUCUCCAGUGUGUCUCUCACUGAUUUCCACGUCAUCUGCACCCUCGGACUAGGAUGCU